GAUGAACGCUGGCGGCGUGCCUAAUACAUGCAAGUCGAGCGAACAGACGAGGAGCUUGCUCCUCUGACGUUAGCGGCGGACGGGUGAGUAACACGUGGAUAACCUACCUAUAAGACUGGGAUAACUUCGGGAAACCGGAGCGAAUACCGGAGAAUAUAUUGAACCGCAUGGUUAAAUAGUGAAAGACGGUUUUGCUGUCACUUAUAGAUGGAUCCGCGCCGCAUUAGCUAGUUGGUAAGGUAACGGCUUACCAAGGCGACGAUGCGUAGCCGACCUGAGAGGGUGAUCGGCCACACUGGAACUGAGACACGGUCCAGACUCCUACGGGAGGCAGCAGUAGGGAAUCUUCCGCAAUGGGCGAAAGCCUGACGGAGCAACGCCGCGUGAGUGAUGAAGGUCUUCGGAUCGUAAAACUCUGUUAUUAGGGAAGAACAAAUGUGUAAGUAACUAUGCACGUCUUGACGGUACCUAAUCAGAAAGCCACGGCUAACUACGUG
rnacentral:rRNA from 1 species